CGAAAGUCUGAUGGAGCAACGCCGCGUGAGUGAAGAAGGGGUUUCGGCUCGUAAAGCUCUGUUGGUAGUGAAGAAAGAUAGAGGUAGUAACUGGCCUUUUAUUUGACGGUAAUUACUUAGAAAGUCACGGCUAACUACGUGCC
rnacentral:rRNA from 1 species